AUUGAACGCUGGCGGCAGGCCUAACACAUGCAAGUCGAACGAGUGGCGGACGGGUGAGUAAUGUCUGGGAAACUGCCUGAUGGAGGGGGAUAACUACUGGAAACGGUAGCUAAUACCGCAUACCAUCGGAUGAGCCCAGAUGGGAUUAGCUAGUUGGUGGGGUAAAGGCUCACCUAGGCGACGAUCCCUAGCUGGUCUGAGAGGAUGACCAGACACACUGGAACUGAGACACGGUCCAGACUCCUACGGGAGGCAGCAGUGGGGAAUAUUGCACAAUGGGGGCAAGCCUGAUGCAGCCAUGCCGCGUGAAUGAAGAAGGCCUUCGGGUUGUAAAGUACUUUCAGUGGGGAGGCGUUACCCGCAGAAGAAGCACCGGCUAACGCCGUGCCAGCAGCCGCGGUAAUAC
rnacentral:rRNA from 1 species